CCACUGCUGAGGAGUCCCAUACUAGGACGAAACGUCCGUCUAGUGU
rnacentral:hammerhead_ribozyme from 1 species